UGCCAGCCGCCGCGGUAAUACAGAGGGUGCAAGCGUUAAUCGGAUUUACUGGGCGUAAAGCGCGCGUAGGUGGCCAAUUAAGUCAAAUGUGAAAUCCCCGAGCUUAACUUGGGAAUUGCAUUCGAUACUGGUUGGCUAGAGUAUGGGAGAGGAUGGUAGAAUUCCAGGUGUAGCGGUGAAAUGCGUAGAGAUCUGGAGGAAUACCGAUGGCGAAGGCAGCCAUCUGGCCUAAUACUGACACUGAGGUGCGAAAGCAUGGGGAGCAAACAGGAUUAGAUACCCUGGUAGUCCAUGCCGUAAACGAUGUCUACUAGCCGUUGGGGCCUUUGAGGCUUUAGUGGCGCAGCUAACGCGAUAAGUAGUCCGCCUGGGGAGUACGGUCGCAAGACUAAAACUCAAAUGAAUUGACGGGGGCCCGCACAAGCGGUGGAGCAUGUGGUUUAAUUCGAUGCAACGCGAAGAACCUUACCUGGUCUUGACAUAGUAAGAACUUUCCAGAGAUGGAUUGGUGCCUUCGGGAACUUACAUACAGGUGCUGCAUGGCUGUCGUCAGCUCGAGUCGUGAGAUGUUGGGUUAAGUCCCGCAACGAGCGCAACCCU
rnacentral:rRNA from 1 species